UUCCCCCUUAUAUAUUUAUAUAUGUAUAUAUGUGAGUGAAAAUUAAAAUAUUUUUAUAUUUAUAUAUUUUUAUAUAUAUAUAUAUAUAUAUAUAUAUAUAUCCUGUUCUAUUAGAAAUAAUAUCCUAUUAGUUCUUUCCCUCUAGAGAGCCCUAAUACAUGUGACAUUUGACCUAAUUCUGGGUAGUUAGGAUCAGAAUUGUACUGCAGACAUUAUGCUUGUUAACUAUUACUGAAAAACUGUUAGCAUUGUCUGAACUAUUAUCAAAUGCUUUUAGUUUUCCCAAGUGUUUUUUUACCUUAAACUUACUUUAUAUUUUAGAUUCUGAACCCACUUUACAUUCUAGAUUCUUAUUUGAUCAGUAAGCAUAGAAUUUUUGUAAAACUUGACCAGUAAUGGGCCAGUAAUGUGGCUUAGCACACUGUAAAUAUGUAUGCAUUACAAAAUCAUAUUUGCUCUUAUAUAAAUAAUUGCAAACACUAGCUUCCAUGUCCUCAUGACCCAUCACCCUCCUGGUUACAUCCAUGUGUUCAAGCCAGGGACGCUCUCCCAAGCCUUGGUAUAUGGUUUUUAUUGGAGUUUCACUAUGUAGCCCAUUGGAUUGAUUAAAUCAUUGGCCAUGUGACUGAACUUUAUCUUCAGCUUUCCUUCCUUCCCCAGAGGUUGGGUUGGUAUUGCAUGGCUCAAAGUUCCAAACCGCAUAGCUCAAAUUCCCAAACCUACGAUCACAUCAUUAAUCUUUCCAGCGUGGCCAGCCCCAACUCUAAAACUAACUACAUGGUUAUCAAGUCAUCAGGUUAUGCAUUUUGGCACUCAAAACCUUUGCUGUGUGUUUUCUUCCUAAUGAAACACUUGGUAAGUUUUCUCAGUUAUGCAUUUGAGCACAAAUAUUUAACAUUUUCACUUAUUCUGCUUUAUUGUGCCUAUCGAAUAUCCCUGUACUUGCCCAUUGAACCAGCUGUCUUAACAUUUGUAAACAGGUAAUGUAGCCUCACUGAUAUGACUGCUGUAUUUUUACUAUAACAUCAUUUAUUCAUUCAUCUUCACUGGGCCAAAUGUGAGCCUGGCCUUAUACUACUAGAUGCUGAGGAUACAAAAAGAAUAAACUAUAACCCCCACUCUUGAAGAACUUCCAGUCUAGGGAAGAUUUGCUAUGAUUGCUAUAUAAAAACACAUCACAUUAACCCUAAGUUUUCAGAAUAUUUCCACAUGGCAGUAGUGCUUCUAAAACCACAAUGUACAUAUGAACCAUCUAACGAUCUAGUUUUAAGAAAAAGGGUUUAAAUUCAGUGGGGUUGCGUGGGGCAUGAGAUUCUGUUCCAACACACUUCCAAGUGAUGCUAAUUCUGUUCCAACACACUUCCAAGUGUUGCUGAUCCAUGGACCAUACUUGGAGUGUCUUGGGUGUAGCAUACAAACUUUCAGAAGUUUUCAAUAUCAGGAUAUCUGAAAUUAUAAGAAUAAUUUUCAUCCAAGUUGUUCCAUUUGCUUUUCAAACUUCAUAUUCUCUGUGGCCUGACCCUAGCAAACUGAACAGCAAUCUUAUGUUGGAGAGUUGCUGGCAUAAGCAGAAAGAGUUUUUUAAUCAUUGUAGGUGUUUGAAAGAUUUAAUAUUCAUGACUUUCUCCAUAAAUGUUACCUUUUUAAAAAUCUUCAUGAAAGUAAGAUAAACCUGUAAUUCUCUCUCAGUCAUGGUCUGUUGUUUUAAUUUCAUGGCAUGUAGUUAAGAUAGUUUUUAUGCUAUUUUGUAGUGACACUAUGAAGAAAAUGUUCAUGUCAGUGAUUUACUGCUGUUUCAGAAUGAACUGUGAAUUAUAAGGGGUUAGGGAAGUAGAUCUUAACACUUAAGGGAUUCUUCUGAGUCUUUAAUCACAAAAAUGUGUUUUAUUAAAUAUCUUAAUCCUAUGAUAACCCCCCAAAUUUCUAAAACACAAUUAAUUAGACCAUUUUAAUCAGUUUUUACACAAUUGAUAAGAUUUAAAUAGAUAAUAUAAGUAAAGAUAUGCAGAUAAUUCACAAAAGAAAAUGAUAGCAAUAAGAGUUUUGAGUUUGAUUAUCAUAGAUCUCAUUAUAGGGCUCUUCCCUGUAUUAGUUUUCUCCUAGUACUAGUUACAGUGAAAGAAAUGAAAAGAUCAGUUAAAAUGUUUAUUGUGUUUCAUUUCUGACUCAAUAGUCUAUAAGCACAGGAAUUAACUGGAGUACCUAGGAAUUGAUUUUUUUCAUACAUUCCAAAAUUCAUUGUUACAUAUCUUAAUUGUAAUUGUUUAGAAUAUUUUUGUCUAUAAACGAAACAUUUCAUAAAUACAGGUAAUCGUCUUUUCUCUAGUUUCUAACUAUAAUUUAAUUGAUGAUGUUGGUCUAUAGUAUCUGUGUUAAGCAACACAGAACCAUAACAUCUCAGGACUGUUUGGAUACUUGGGCACCUAUCUUUAAAUCAGAGAAGACAUUUGAAAUGUCUGCUCUUAAGAAGGUCUGAUCUAACAAGAUGAGGCUGGGGGAAUUUACUGUAAGAUGCCUACGAAUCAUAGCCAAUUUGAGUCAUGUGUAGCCAGUUUGAAUCAUAUAGAUGUCCAUCCGUAAACAACUAGGAGUUAUGCUGGAUUCAGGAGACGCAUAGAACCAGAAGAGUUCAGUUCCACUGUUUAUACAGGUAAUUAUUGGUUAGGCCUAACUAGGUCCAUGGCUAGGGGACCAGUAAGAGUGUAAGAUUCACAGGCUGAUAGUCAUACACUGAAUUAAGAGAUGUAUUGUUUUAGGUGUUCCAGCCGUUUGGUAAAUUCUGCAAACUAACCUUACUAACAUACACUUUAUUUGUUCAUUUAUUUCUUAGCAGUGUGCCAUUCUCAUAAAACCAAAGCAUCGGUAGUGAUUUUUUUUUCAUAAUUCUAAGGGCUUAUCUAUUAACACAGUUUCUAGGAACAUCUAAUAGUUUGAUUAUUUUUUUCUCCUCUACCUCUGGGACUCCUAUGCAUGUUGGCAGUUCUGCUUUCAUCUACAUACCCCUAAGCUAUUCUCUCAUGGUUUCCAUCUCUGCUGUUUCUAGCUGCUUCUGAGAGAGCUUCUUGCUCUGAUCUUUCAGUGUGCUAAUUUGUUCUUCAUCUGUUCAGCCUGCUGUUUAUCCCAUUUGUCGUGGUGGUGUUUUUUAUAUUUCAACUCUUAUGUAUUCAGACCUAAUAUUUCUACCUGGACUUCUUAAAUGACUUAUUGGUUUUGCUUUAUGCUACCAGUAUUAUUCCUAAUUGUGUUAUCAUUACCAUGGUUAUUCUGUUUCUGAUGGUAGGUAUUUGUCUGUUGUCUUUAUUUUUUUAACAGUAAUUACACACUGUAGCAUAGCCAUUGUCAGUUUCUCUCCAAGCCUUCUCACUGCCUUCUGCACCUCGCUGCCUUUUCUGCUUCUAAUCCAUAACUCCAAGGUUAAGAUGGCCUCAGUCUCCCCAGAACAUCUCACUUUUGGUAUUGGGUUUUAUUUUUUUUUCCCUAGUAUUCACAUGUCUGUUUGUCUGAAUCAAAAUGUCUCUCUUCCUCUGUCUCUCUAUCUCUGUCUCCAUCUCUGUCUCCUCUCUCUCUCUGCCUCUCUCUGUCUCUCACCCUCUCUGCCUUCCUUUCUCCCUACCACGCCACCCUCCCCCAUCUCCUAUCUCCUAGGAUUGGUUUUGGAAUAAGCCAGCAGCGUAUUGUAGCUUACCAUCUUGACAGGAGCCAAAGCUAAUUAAAAGAGAAUUUCUCUCAACUCUUUGUCUUAGUGAUUUAUAUUACUAAUGAUUCUCAGAUUUGCCUUUCCAAUACAAAUGACUUGGCUGCUAUCUUUAUUCAAUCUAUUUUAGAAAUAUUGGUUCAUUUACCAAUUUUAAUUGGUAAAAUUUAAAUUUUGGCAGUAAAAUUUGUAAUGUUUUAUUACAAAUCUAAUUACUAACUUAAAUGUAAUUUUGAAAUAUUUUACUAACUUAAAUACAGAUUUCAAAUCUUCUAGGAGAAGACUAAGUAAUAGAAAUGUAAAACAGAAUUCAGUCCUUACAAUAACCAGAAAUAUAUUUUUCAUAUUAUGAUCAAUUAGGUAAGAUUGUUUUUAAUACAUAUGCAUAAUUGUGAUUUGAACGCUUUACCAUAAAGCUUUGAUUAUUUGAGAUGAUACCAAUUAGUAUACUUUGUAAGAUAUCCCAAUUUUGCUGUUGUCUAUUGCAUAUUAUUUGUACAAAAUCCUGUGAAACAGGCAGGGAAGAAGUAGUGUGUAUUUUGAAGACAUGGAAACAGACCAACAGACCUCAAGAAUACAAAUGGUGUACCUAAGGUUCACACAUAGUAAAUGGCCUAACGCACCUAAACCAGUUUCUUAGACUCUGAUGCCUCACUGACAACCCACCAUUCUACAACUCCUGCUCUUUCCACCCUCUACAGCACCAGGUUAGGACUGACAUCCUCGCCAGCUGUUUGUGCCCUUUCAGAAUCCUGACACUGCCUUCCUUCUCAGGCCCACUUAAAGGGAGCAAGAUUUUAUCCAAGGAAGGACUUUUGUGGAUAAGCCUGCUGUCAUAUCUACUAACCUGCCUAAGCAGAUUAGCAGCUUCACCCAGGCUUUUGGAGAAUGCACAGACAGAGGUGAAAGAAGAAGGGAUUUCCUGCCUGCCAUCCCCAGUCAGCUAGAUCCACCUGUGCAUGAGUGAGAUGACAGCCUAUUUUAUAGGUAGACACUUCAAGUCAUCUACCAGCAGGUAAUGGGACUCAACCAUAGAGAGAGGUGUUUAGGGGCAACUGGGAGUGGGAGAUAGAAUCCAAGGACCAGUCAGGAUUUUACGUUGAAUUGAAGUGAGAUACUUUGUAAAGGAGCCAAGGCAAAAUGUAAUCAAGAUAGAGAGGAUAUCACUGGAAAUACAAUGCAAAACAGAAGCAUAAUCAUGGAGAAAAAAAUGUAGAGAAUGUAGGCUCCUAAGUCAGAGAAGAAGCAAAGGGAAUCUGAUUUGCUUAGCUGUGAACUCCUAGGUCAUUUUGUCUCUCCCAGCAAGAGAUCCAGUUGGGACUACAGAUGGUCCCCAAUUUACUAUGGUUUGACUUAUGAUUUCUUGGCUUUAUGAUCAAGAUUGUGUGAGAGUGACACACAUUCUGUAGAAACUGCUCCUCGAGUACCCAUGCAACCAUUCUACUUUCACUUUCAAUACAGUAGUCAAUAAAUUACACAGAAUAUUCAACACUUUAUUAUAACAUAGACUUUGUGAUAUGUGACUUUGCCCAACUGUAGACUACUGCAAGUAUUUAAGCACAUUUAUGGCAGGCUGGGCUAUGCUAUGAUGUUCCAUAGGUCAAGUGUAGUAACUGCAUUUUCAAAAUAGGAUAUUUUCAACUUACGAUGGGUUAAUGAGGAUGUAACCUAUCAUAAGUCAAGGAACACCUAUAAACUUAAAGCUGGAGCAGAGAUUACAAAUAAUUAACAGUGGAAAUUUUUAAAAUAUGGAAUGUAAGUGCCCAAUCAGAAAUUGUGCUUAGGGAUUUUAUGUGACUCUCCUGUGUUAGCUGGAAAUGUCACCACAAUAAGAAAGAGGAGACUCUAGAAUUAGGAGGCAAUACUUCUGAAUUAUUGUCAGUAAUGUGAUAAGAGUUAGCAUAAAUUGCUUGAUCUUACUGUGCUUCUCUCACAACACUGAAAACGGGGUGAUUAAAAAUGCCUCCUUCAUAUAAUUGAGUUUUCUUCAUUAUGAUAGUUUUGUUAAUAAGUGGUAUGUAAUUUGAAAUUGUAACAUUCAAAACGCAAAUUCCAUGAUCCUAAGCCUACCUAAGCAUACAACUUUGCUUAUGAAUAGACAUGACCAUUCAAGUGAUGUGGCUAUAAUACAAGAAGGCUUUAUUAUGCCCUUAUGAACAGACUUUUCCUGGAUGGCCGAGCACUAUCAUAAGGGGUCCAGCUCUGUUUCAAUGUGACAUUGAUACAGCUCCACUCAGUAGUUCCAUCUGAACUAACUCUUUCAGAAGGGUUAAUAGCAACAGUCCACGGACCCACUUGACCUCUCCACUUAAUUUUGAAAAGUAUGAAUUAUCCACAAUUGUAGCAACUACUGAGAAAAUUAUAAGCUUUCCUUUCCAUUUUUUUCCUAUGACACCAUUGACCAAAUAUGUAUGGAGCAAUUGGCAAGUCUCAUAUACAUAUCUAUGUAUAUGAGAUAGAUUAUAUAUCUAUCUCACAGCUCCUUCACUCAGUUAUCUCAAAGUUUAGUGAGAAGCAGGCAUAGGGUUAUGGCAUGUUAAUUUCUAUAAUGUGAAUUGUGCAUGAAGUGUAAUAGGACUAUUCUUUAAGCAAGUCCAGGUAAGACGUCAUGACAAUCUAAAUACACAGGCAUUGAAACUGGUGAAGAUGGAACCAAUAAUAGGGAUAUCUAAGGAUAAUUGAUAGCAGGGGAAUGAGGGAGAGAAGCCAUCUUAGACUGACUUUUGUGGUUCUGACUUGGAAAACUGGAUGAAUCUUACUCGCUGAGAUAAGCAAUUGAGAAAGACUAUAUUUGUCGGUGGGGAGAGAGCGGGUUGAAGCAUAGUUUUGGACAUGACUGAGUUUAAUGUCUUGCUUUGGAACCUCCAGAUGAGCAAUUUUGAAAGCAAUGAGAAUAUGCAGUUUCAGGGGCCUGGGAAUCUGCAUUUUUGAGUCAGUCAUUUGUUUAUGAGUUAAAAUAAUGAGCAUGAGUAAAAUUGCCAAUGUUGUUGUUUUUUUAAGUGAAGAGAGUGUUUACAAAGACUGAGGAACACUGAUGUUCCAUGGUGAACAGAGCAACAGGGACCUGCACAGGGACUGAAAACAAGAGGAGAGAGGAGGAGAGCGUGAUUUCAAGGAGCCAAAACGGGUAGAGCCAAGUCAAAAUGGAACAGAACUGUCCACUAAGAAGAAAUGGAAUCUGUGAUUCUGCAGGACAGAAUGGUCUGUACCAGAGAUGAAGUCAUCAGUCUACAGAUGGUCAUGGAAUUGAGUGAAAGCAAUCACCCAGCGUCAGGCAAGGCGUCAGAGCCCCAACAUCAGAAUGAUCGACUGGCAGGUUGGUAAGAAGAAUUUACUACUGACAGUAUAGUACUGAAAAAGGAAAGUUUUAUUAGGUAGAAAGAACGUUGUUGAAGAGUGCAGCUGCAGCAGGGUACCUCAGCAAGAGAGGAUGGAGUGCAACACAAUGGAUUCUUCCUCAGGAGUAUUUACAGACCUUAAAGCAGGAGCUGAAGGGUAAUUGGAACUAUAUUAGCCUCAUAGGUCAUGAUAAAUGAUUACAUUUGUAGACAUUUUUGUGUCAGCAAGGUUUGCACAAUGGGUUUCAGCAUGCAUGCAUUCUGGAGAUGUAUAGAAACUCUAGUUACUUAUACAUUUGUGGAGUAAAGAAGCUUCGAACCAGAUGCUGGCUUUAGAUAAUAGAGAAGUGUAAUUUAUACAGGAGAUAGAAAUCAUUUAGGCAGGUAGUAAGUGCAAGGUUCUUUGAACUGACUGCACCAAGGACUACACCAUAGUCAAGCCAUGGUGACCCCUGUGACCCACACACACUCCUCCAGAUGGCCUCCUGGUGCCAAAAAGUCAAAGGUAACAAAAACUGCAAAAGGAGAAUAGCUAGCCCAUGCAGUGCCUGAUUAACUGACCUUGUGACAUUCCACCAUUGUCCCUGCCUCAACUGAUAAGUCGGCCUUUGUGACCCUGGACCCUGUGGCCUGAUUAACCAACCUUGUGACAUUCUACCACUGUUCCUGCCUCAACUUAUAGAUCAAUCUUGUGACAUUGGAUCCCAUGACACCCACCUCCCCUGGCUUGCAAAAAAACUGCGCUAAACUGUAACUUUCCAUUACCUAUCCCCAACCUAUAAAACUAGCUCCUAUCUCACCACCCCUCUACUAACUAUCUUUUCGGAUUCAACCCACUCACCCCCGAGUGAAUAAACAGACUUGUUGCUCAAACAAAGCCUGUUUAGGUGGUCUGUUCAUUCAGAGCAUGCUUAACAGUAAGGGUAACAGAGUCCUUGGCGGAAUGUCCCUUUUAACAAAAAGAAGCCCUGAAAUCAUUUCUUUUCUAACAAAGAGCAGCCUGAAAAAAUUGAGCUGCAGACAGAGAUAAGCAAGCUGGAAACUUGCACUGGUGAAUGCCAGCAGCUGUGUCAAUAGAAAAUAGCUACCUGAGGGCGAGGCAUGUUGAACAUGGAGGCUCCAUCUUCACUUUCUUUGUCACCACGUGUACAGUAAAGAACCAGGCAACAUGGCGCCAACCCAGUAGAAAACCCAUCUGCAUAAUAAAAGAUUAGGGUAGGGAAGCCAGCUUCUUCGGUGCUAUGCGUAUGGGACAACUGGUCCAACCAGUCCUUCAUGCCCUAUGUAAAUCAGACAUUGUCCCCUCAAGCUCAUCUAUAAAACCUGCAUUCUACUGGGGAAGCCACAACCCAUUUUCUCUGGGACCAUUCUCUGCACAGAGAGCUCUUAUCUUUCUUCCGCCUAUUAAACUUUUGCUCUUAACUGCACUGUUUGUGUACUGGCAUCCUAGUUUUCCAUGGCCAUGAGACAAUGAAUCCCAGGUAUUUACCUCAGACAGUGACACCACUUCAUAAUUACUUGUAAGUUCCUCAGAUAAGGAGUUUUGUCUGUGAGCCACCUGCUUGAUGGUCACCAGGUGAUCUUUGCUGUCCUCACCGAGGAGAUGUCAUGUAUACCGGGAGGGGAGGAGACCUAAGGACAGAACUCAGGGAAACAGCCUCCAAUGGGCAAGCAGAGGGAGGUGAUCCUCCAAGGGGCUUAAAGAGAACUGGAAAGAGAUAGCUGGGAGACUGGUGCCAUGGAAGGCAAGAAAAAAGGAUUUUAUAUUCUGGUGAAGAAUGUUAAGUAUUUUGCUUCUUCGUUUCUACAGUAUUUUUUUUUUUAAUUAUAAGAAAAGAUGAAAUCAGGUGCCAUAUAUCUUCUAUCUUUGAAAUAGUAAAAAAUGUAGCUGAGUUAAAUCAAUCUAAUGAUAAUGGACUGCCAAGUAAGAAUUAAUUUAAAGAUUGUUGUAUUCAACUUCUCAGCACUAGAGUCUAGAGAAGAAAUACUGCUGGCAUCUCCUGGUGUGAUUUACCACACCAUCAUAGCUUAUGUAUUUCUGAACUUCUGAGAGAAAAAGUAAAGCAAUAUAACGUGCACUCGCCUUAGAGUCAGAAGGCCUGAGUUUAAAAUAUCAUUCCUGUCACUUAACAGCUGUGGACAAAUCAUUUAACCUCUCUGAGGUCCGAUAGGGAGAUGGCAAAUUCUGGAAAUUAAAUAUGUUGAAUAUAACGUUUUAAUAAUUCAGUUUGUAUUUCUCAACUCUUGUAGUCAUUGCAUACUUGCAAGUACUAGAAAGUUUGAUGGCAUUCUGGAGAUUAGCUAGUAUUUUCUUUUAGCAUAAUACCUGUUUAGAGGCAGCACAGAGGUGCCUCUGAGAUCAUAGAAGUUCCUCCCCUCUUCAUGAAGGUUCUGUUACAAACACAUGCAGAGGCCAAAUGGCUGAGAAACUCUUAACUAUGCCCAUUUUAAGUAUAAUAAUUGGUGUGCAACUUAGCAUUUUAAUUAAAUCCUGUUUUUUUAAAAUUGAAAUUUCCCCAAAAUUAUCUAUAGGAUUGUUGAAUGUUUACUUCCUUUUGUAGGUUUUCUGAUAUAUAGUAGAAACAUAACAAUGGUCUUCCUCUCCCCCAUCAACCCCAGUCUGUCAAUAUCUCACUGCAGCUGGAAGGUGACCUCCACAUUAUAUCCUAAACCUGUGUAAUAAAUAAUAGUAGAUGUCUAAAGCUCAUCACAAGAGCAGAUGAAGUGGUACAUAGCACACUGUUCUUUUGGAAUUUCCACAUUAGGGAACUCUGGCAGACCAUUUGUUACCUUAGUCAUUUGGAAGGGUGAAAAAGAUAAUUUGAAUCUUGGAAAGGAUCAACCUGAAAGCAAAGCACACUUGACACACCAAACUGGAACUUUGUUUUUUAUUGUGUUUUUCUUUUAGACAGGUUCAUCGAGAUUAGGCAUAAUUUAGUAAAAUCACUCUUUUCCACAUAAGAUUCUAUGGAUUUUGACAAACACACACAGCAGUGUAACAUAUAGUCCUAUCACUACAAAGGACUGAGUACUGUAACAUCCUCAUCCCUUUGUAAUCAACCUUUCUACCCAAUCAUCUCCUGGAAACCAAUGAUAUAAUUUCUGCUUCUAGAGUUUUGCCUUUUCCAAAAUGUCAUAUAAAGUAGAAUCAAGCAGUGUGUCCAACCGUUUGAGCCUGGCUUCUUUCAUUUAGCAUAAUACAUUUGGAAUUCAUCCAUAUCACAUCAAGUGUCAGUGGUACAUCCCUUUUCAUUGCUGAGUAGUAUUUCAUUGUAUGAAUGUACUGCAGCUCAUCAUUUUGCCUGUUGAUGAACAUUUUGGAGUGUUUCCAAUUUUGGUGAUUACAAAUAAAGUUGCUAUAAAUGUUUAUGAAUAGGUUUUUAUGUGGACAUAUUUUAUUUCCCUUAAAUACCUAGAAGUGAGAUUUUCAUGUUAUGUGUUUAACUUUAUCAGAAGCUUUCAAACUGUUUUCCUGAGUGGCAUUCCCUUCAAUUGUGUGUGAGGGCUCCAGUUGUUCUGUAUCCUUACCAACACUUGAUAUUAUAAAACUUUCAUUUGUUAACCAUUCUGAUAGGUAUACAAUGGUAUCAUUUCAUUGUUGUUUUUGUAUGCAUUUUCCUAAUAAAUAUGUUGUUGAGUAUU